AACGGCUCAUUACAAUGGCCAUUAUUUACUUGAUCUUGAUUGNNUCUAAAUGGAUAACUGUGGAAAAGCUAGAGCUAAUACAUGCACUAAAGCUUUGUCCUUACGGAAAAGCGCAUUUAUUAGAACAAAACCACGCGGCUUCGGCUGCUUCUUGUUGACUCAGAAUAACUUAGCUGACCGCAUGGCCUUGUGCCGGCGGCGUGUCUUUCAAGCGUCCACUUUAUCAACUUGACGGGAGCAUAAUCGACUCCCGUGGUGGUGACGGAUAACGGAGGAUCAGGGUUCGACUCCGGAGAAGGGGCCUGAGAAAUGGCCACUACGUCUAAGGAUGGCAGCAGGCGCGCAAAUUACCCACUCUCGGCUCGAGGAGGUAGUGACGAGAAAUAACGAGACUGUUCUCUUUGAGGCCGGUCAUCGGAAUGGGUACAAUUUAAACCCUUUAACGAGUAUCAAGCAGAGGGCAAGUCUGGUGCCAGCAGCCGCGGUAAUUCCAGCUCUGCAAAUACAUAGAAUUAUUGCUGCGGUUAGAAAGCUCAUAGUUGGAUUCGUAUCGAUACCUUGGAACCCUUCGGGUGUCUCUAGGUGUAUCGAUUUAUCGUAAUGUUCGGUUUUGAGUCCUUAACAGGAUUCUUAACAGGCAUUGCAAGUUUACUUUGAACAAAUCAGAGUGCUUCAAACAGGCGUUUUGCUUGAAUGAUCGUGCAUGGAAUAAUAGAAAAUGAUUUCGGUUCAGUUUUAUUGGUUUUACGGACUGAGAUAAUGGUUAACAGAGACAAACGGGGGCAUUUGUAUGGUCCCGUGAGAGGUGAAAUUCUUGGACCGUGGCCAGACAAACUACAGCGAAAGCAUUUGCCAAGAAUGUUUUUAUUAAUCAAGAACGAAAGUCAGAGGUUCGAAGGCGAUCAGAUACCGCCCUAGUUCUGACCGUAAACGAUGCCAACUAGCGAUCCGCCGAUGGAAAUUAUAUUGCCUUGGUGGGGAGCUUCCCGGAAACGAAAGUCUUCCGGUUCCGGGGGAAGUAUGGUUGCAAAGCUGAAACUUAAAGGAAUUGACGGAAGGGCACCACCAGGAGUGGAGCCUGCGGCUUAAUUUGACUCAACACGGGGAAACUCACCCGGCCCGGACACUGUGAGGAUUGACAGAUUGAUAGCUUUUUCAUGAUUCAGUGGAUGGUGGUGCAUGGCCGUUCUUAGUUCGUGGAGUGAUUUGUCUGGUUUAUUCCGAUAACGAGCGAGACUCUAACCUACUAAAUAGUUGGUACAUACUCUUAGUGUAUACAGCUUCUUAGAGGGAUUUGCGGCGUUCAGCCGAAAGAAAUUGAGCAAUAACAGGUCUGUGAUGCCCUUAGAUGUCCGGGGCUGCACGCGCGCUACACUGGCAAAAUCAACGUGCUUGUCCUACCCUGAAAGGGGCGGGUAAACCAUUGAAAAUUUGCCGUGAUUGGGAUCGGAAAUUGCAAUUAUUUUCCGUGAACGAGGAAUUCCAAGUAAUUGCGAGUCAUCAGCUCGCGUUGAUUACGUCCCUGCCCUUUGUACACACCGCCCGUCGCUGCCCGGGACUGAGCCAUUUCGAGAAAUU
rnacentral:rRNA from 1 species